rnacentral:rRNA from 1 species
GGCGGCGUGCCUAAUACAUGCAAGUAGAACGCUGAAGGAGGAGCUUGCUUCUCUGGAUGAGUUGCGAACGGGUGAGUAACGCGUAGGUAACCUGCCUGGUAGCGGGGGAUAACUAUUGGAAACGAUAGCUAAUACCGCAUAACAGUAGAUGUUGCAUGACAUUUGCUUAAAAGGUGCAAUUGCAUCACUACCAGAUGGACCUGCGUUGUAUUAGCUAGUUGGUGGGGUAACGGCUCACCAAGGCGACGAUACAUAGCCGACCUGAGAGGGUGAUCGGCCACACUGGGACUGAGACACGGCCCAGACUCCUACGGGAGGCAGCAGUAGGGAAUCUUCGGCAAUGGACGGAAGUCUGACCGAGCAAACGCCGCGUGAGUGAAAGAAAGGUUUUUCGGGAUUCGUAAAAGCUCUGUUGUAAAGAGAAG